rnacentral:rRNA from 1 species
UAUUGCUCAAUGGGGGAAACCCCGCUGCAGCGACGCCGCGUGAAGGAAGAAGUAUCUCGGUAUGUAAACUUCUAUCAGCAGGGAAGAANAUGACGGUACCUGACUAAGAAGCCGCGGCUAACUACGUGUCAGCAGCCGCGGUAAUACGUAGGGGGCAAGCGUUAUCCGGAUUUACUGGGUGGAAAGGGAGCGUAGACGGAAGAGCAAGUCUGAUGUGAAAGGCUGGGGCUUAACCCCAGGACUGCAUUGGAAACUGUUGUUCUAGAGUGCCGGAGAGGUAAGCGGAAUUCCUAGUGUAGCGGUGAAAUGCGUAGAUAUUAGGAGGAACACCAGUGGCGAAGGCGGCUUACUGGACGGUAACUGACGUUGAGGCUCGAAAGCGUGGGGAGCAAACAG